UAUGGCCAUAUCAGGUUGAAACUCUAGUUUGCUUAUGAUCACCAAAGUUAAGCAACAUCAAGUCUGGUCACUACUUAGAUGAGUGACUCCUUGGAAAUACCAGGUGCUGUAAG